UACGGGGGGGGCAAGCGUUGUUCGGAAUUACUGGCGUAAAGGGUUCGUAGGUGGCUUGCUCAGUCAGACGUGAAAUCCCUCAGCUUAACUGGGGAACUGCGUCUGAUACUGGCGAGCUUGAGUGCAGGAGAGGAACGCGGAAUUCCAGGUGUAGCGGUGAAAUGCGUAGAUAUCUGGAGGAACACCGGUGGCGAAGGCGGGUCUCUGGGCCGAUACUGACGCUGAGGAGCGAAAGCGUGGGGAGCGAACAGG
rnacentral:rRNA from 1 species